rnacentral:rRNA from 1 species
UACGUAGGGGGCGAGCGUUGUCCGGAAUCAUUGGGCGUAAAGAGCGUGUAGGCGGCUUGGCAAGUCUGACGUGAAAGCCCGCGGCUCAACCGCGGAUUGUCGUUGGAAACUGCCUCGCUAGAGUCCGGAAGAGGAGAGCGGAAUUCCUGGUGUAGCGGUGGAAUGCGCAGAUAUCAGGAAGGACACCCGUGGCGAAGGCGGCUCUCUGGGACGGUACUGACGCUGAGACGCGAAAGCGUGGGGAGCGAACAGG